rnacentral:rRNA from 1 species
AACGUAGGAGACGAACGUUAUCCGGAGUUACUGGGCGUAAAGCGUGCGCAGGCGGUUUUGUAAGUCUGACGUGAAAUCCCCGGGCUCAACCUGGGAAUUGCGUUGGAGACUGCAAGGCUGGAGUCUGGCAGAGGGGGGUAGAAUUCCACGUGUAGCAGUGAAAUGCGUAGAGAUGUGGAGGAACACCGAUGGCGAAGGCAGCCCCCUGGGCCGAUACUGACGCUCAGGCACGAAAGCGUGGGGAGCAAACAGG